rnacentral:misc_RNA from 1 species
GGUGCUCAGAAUUAUCAACUGCAGCUGAUGGGAUUUCCUCCCAAGGUUCUUACAGAUUCAACUCAAACAAUAGAGCAAGCAGGGCUUGCCAAUUCAGUCAUUAUUCAGAAAUUCUAGCCAAGCUGGAUAAAAGGCAGUGCACUCUCAUUAGUCAUUAACUGCUUAUUGUACCAAGCGAACCAAUUCUAUGGACAUAUCUCCAUUUCCUAUAUAUUAAAAGAGGGUUUUGGUGGCUGGUUGCGUGGUACAAUAAGCAGUUAAU